UACGUAGGGGGCUAGCGUUGUCCGGAUUUAUUGGGCGUAAAGAGCUCGUAGGCGGUUUGUCGCGUCGACUGUGAAAACCCGAGGCUUAACCUCGGGCCCGCAGUCGAUACGGGCAGACUAGAGUUCGGUAGGGGAGACUGGAAUUCCUGGUGUAGCGGUGAAAUGCGCAGAUAUCAGGAGGAACACCGGUGGCGAAGGCGGGUCUCUGGGCCGAUACUGACGCUGAGGAGCGAAAGCGUGGGGAGCGAACAGG
rnacentral:rRNA from 1 species